AGUACAGGAAUACACAAUGGCUUGUCUUUGUUUAGUUUUGAGUGAGCUUUAGGGGGNACCCAAAGAUCAUUCAACUUGAUCCUUGAAAACUGAAUAACACCAAACAAGAUUGAUCAUAGUCUCGAUGCGAGCUAUGAGAGAUCCAUUAUUUCUUAAAAAGAUAUAAUGAACCGAGAAAUUGACCGAGUCUAUAACGUAAGUUAUAGAGUAAGAAAGCGAAAGUAUUGUGG
rnacentral:misc_RNA from 1 species